GUCGAGAAUUUUUCUCAAUGGGGGCAACCCUGAAGGAGCGACGCCGCGUGGGGGAUGAAGGGCUUCGGCUCGUAAACCCCUGUCAUCUGCGAACAAACCUUUUCACCUAACACGUGAAAAGCUGAUAGUAGCGGAAGAGGAAGGGACGGCUAACUCUGUGCCAGCAGCCGCGGUAAUACAGAGGUCCCAAGCGUUGUUCGGAUUCACUGGGCGUAAAGGGUGCGUAGGCGGUGGGGUAAGUCUGAUGUGAAAGCUCGGAGCUCAACUCCGAAAUGGCAUUGGAAACUGCCUUGCUCGAGGGUCGGAGGGGAGACUGGAAUUCUCGGUGUAGCAGUGAAAUGCGUAGAUAUCGAGAGGAACACCAGUGGCGAAAGCGAGUCUCUGGACGACACCUGACGCUGAGGCACGAAAGCUAGGGGAGCAAACAGGAUUAGAUACCCCAGUAGUCC
rnacentral:rRNA from 1 species